rnacentral:rRNA from 1 species
AGUUUGAUCAUGGCUCAGAUUGAACGCUGGCGGAAUGCUUUACACAUGCAAGUCGAACGGCAGCACGGGGCAACCUGGUGGCGAGUGGCGAACGGGUGAGUAAUACAUCGGAACGUGCCCAAUCGUGGGGGAUAACGUAGCGAAAGUUACGCUAAUACCGCAUACGAUCUACGGAUGAAAGCGGGGGAUCGCAAGACCUCGCGCGAGUGGAGCGGCCGAUGUCAGAUUAGGUAGUUGGUGGGGUAAAGGCUCACCAAGCCAACGAUCUGUAGCUGGUCUGAGAGGACGACCAGCCACACUGGAACUGAGACACGGUCCAGACUCCUACGGGAGGCAGCAGUGGGGAAUUUUGGACAAUGGGCGCAAGCCUGAUCCAGCCAUUCCGCGUGCAGGAUGAAGGCCUUCGGGUUGUAAACUGCUUUUGUACGGAACGAAACGGCGAGCUCUAAUACAGUUUGCUAAUGACGGUACCGUAAGAAUAAGCACCGGCUAACUACGUG